AAGAUCAUACUUCAAGGGAUCUAUUGAAGUGUGUUUCUUCAGCUUCAUGAACAACAUGAAGUUGACUGGAUCCACGAUGACGAGGUAUUGGGCAUCUUCCUGAGCGCGAAACCGAAGCUUGGCUUUUUUAUCGAUUUCGAUUGAUUUGAUUGCCUUAUGCUUCAUUGAUGAACGUUUUUGUGUUUCAUUAUUGAAUCACAAAAGGGAAGAUGCUCGUUCCGAGUGGU